UACGUAGGGGGCAAGCGUUGUCCGGAAUUACUGGGCGUAAAGGGUGCGUAGGCGGCCUGGUAAGUCAGAUGUGAAAUACCCGUGCUUAACAUGGGGGGUGCAUCUGAUACUGUCAGGCUUGAGUGCAGGAGAGGAAAGCGGAAUUCCUAGUGUAGCGGUGAAAUGCAUAGAUAUUGGGAAGAACACCAGCGGCGAAGGCGAUUCACUGGACUGUAACUGACACUGAGGCACGAAAGCGUGGGGAGCAAACAGG
rnacentral:rRNA from 1 species